GACGAACGCUGGCGGCAUGCCUAAUACAUGCAAGUCGAGCGGAGCGGCGGAAGGGGGAGUAAGGCCUAGGAAUCUGCCUGGUAGUGAGGGAGACCGUACGGAAACGGGAGCUAAUACCGCAUAGUAACAGAUGAGCUUAGGUCGGAUUAGCUAGUUGGUGGGGUAAAGGCCUACCAAGGAGACGAUCCGUAACUGGUCUGAGAUGAUGAUCAGUCACACUGGAACUGAGACACGGUCCAGACUCCUACGGGAGGCAGCAGUGGGGAAUAUUGGGCAAUGGGCGAAAGCCUGAUCCAGCCAUGCCGCGUGUGUGAAGAAGGUCUUCGGAUUGUAAAGCACUUUAAGUUGGGAGGCGUUACCUACAGAGUAAGCACCGGCUAACUUCGUGCCAGCAGCCGCGGUAAUAC
rnacentral:rRNA from 1 species